rnacentral:tRNA from 1 species
GGCCCGUUGGUCUAGUCAGGCCGAGGACGCCCGGUUCUCAUCCGGGAGGGCACCGGUUCGAAUCCGGUACGGGCUACUA